CUGGGUCAAAGGGUGAAGUAGAAGGAAGCUGGAAACACAUAGUAUUUUAGAAGUUUUUCAGAGAAAUCACAAGGCAGGAACUUCUGCUCAGUUUGGAAGAAAGAGCAUUCCAUCAUGACCCUUGGACUGGGUGAGAGCAUCAUCCUUUAAUUAAUGUCUGCGCUGGGUCAGAUAACCAUCACUGUCUCCAGAGAAAGUGUCUCUACAAGUCAAAGCAGGAAUAUCAGCCUUCUUACACUAGGACAACUCCAAAAUUGUGUGAUUGGCAAAUUGACAAUCAUCGAUUUGUUGACUGAACACCUGUUAGGUGUAAGGCACGGUGUCAUAUGCUUUCCUUGGGGCUUGCCUUCAAGCAGCUAACAGAAAUAAGAAGAAAACAGGUGAAAAAGACAGUGUGAUAAGGCCAUGGUGGUGGAUUGUGGAUGCCCUGCCC
rnacentral:lncRNA from 1 species